GGGAAUUGAAGAGGGAAAAGCCCAAAUUUGUAAUCUGGCUCUUUCAGAGUCCGAGUUGUAAUUUUAAGAACUGUUUUCAGUGCUGGACCAUGUACAAGUCUUCUGAAAAGAAGCAUCAUAGAAGGUGAUAAUCCUGUUCAUGAUAUGGACUACCAGUGCAAUAUGAUACAGUCUCUAAGAGUCGAGUUGUUUGGGAAUGCAGCUCAAAGUGGGUGGUAAAUUCCAUCUAAGGCUAAAUAUUGAUGAGAGACCGAUAGCAAACAAGUACCGUGAGGGAAAGAUGAAAAGAACUUUGGAAAGAGAGUUAACAGUACGUGAAAUUGUUAAAAGGGAAACAAUUGAAGUUAGACUUGUUAUUAAUAGUUCAACCUUUUUUUUUUAAAAGGAGUAUUCUAUUGAUUAACAGACCAACAUCAAUUUUUGGGUGUUGGAUAAGGGUUUAAGGAAAUGUAGCAGUUUUUGACUGUGUUAUAUUCCUUUUGAGCUUUGAUACAAUGCUUAAGAUUGAGGAAUG
rnacentral:rRNA from 1 species